UACGUAGGGCGCAAGCGUUAUCCGGAAUUAUUGGGCGUAAAGAGCUCGUAGGCGGUUUGUCGCGUCUGCCGUGAAAGUCCGGGGCUCAACUCCGGAUCUGCGGUGGGUACGGGCAGACUAGAGUGAUGUAGGGGAGACUGGAAUUCCUGGUGUAGCGGUGAAAUGCGCAGAUAUCAGGAGGAACACCGAGUGGCGAAGGCAGGGUCUCUGGGCAUUAACUGACGCUGAGGAGCGAAAGCAUGGGGAGCGAACAGG
rnacentral:rRNA from 1 species